UAAUUGAAACCAAAAUAGAGGUCUAUCACUGUUAAUGAUAAAAUUGAGAACUAAACUCCAAUUAAA
rnacentral:tRNA from 2 species